ACGAACGCUGGCGGCAGGCCUAGCACAUGCAAGUCGAGCGCGCCCUUCGGGGUGAGCGGCGGACGGGUGAGUAACGCGUGGGAACGUGCCCUUUUCUACGGAAUAGCCUCGGGAAACUGAGAGUAAUACCGUAUACGCCCUUUGGGGGAAAGAUUUAUCGGAAAAGGAUCGGCCCGCGUUGGAUUAGGUAGUUGGUGGGGUAAUGGCCUACCAAGCCGACGAUCCAUAGCUGGUUUGAGAGGAUGAUCAGCCACACUGGGACUGAGACACGGCCCAGACUCCUACGGGAGGCAGCAGUGGGGAAUCUUAGACAAUGGGGGCAACCCUGAUCUAGCCAUGCCGCGUGAGUGAUGAAGGCCUUAGGGUUGUAAAGCUCUUUCAGCUGGGAAGAUAAUGACGGUACCAGCAGAAGAAGCCCCGGCUAACUCCGU
rnacentral:rRNA from 1 species